CUUAUUGAAAAAAAAAACACCAAAGGAUGUGUUGCAGCGGAUAAGCUGCUCUUCUCUUUAUCAGAGGUUUCGGGUUCUAGUCCUGAAUAUGAAAAAGUCUUUGGUAGGAAGCACAUCCCCAAAUGAGAUCCUAUGCGCGUGAAUCCAGAUAUAAUCGAGGCUGUACUAGACAUCGGCGGGAAACAAAAAAAACUUAUUGAAAAAAGAUUUUUUUAAAAAACAAAAUUUGAAAAAAAACUAUUGAAAUGUUAUAUUCCUACUAAAGUAGUAUCAUCGUCAUCCUCAUCAAGCAAACAAACAAACACUAUCCAUGGCGAGUAUCAAAACUUUGCAUUUGCUAAAACUAGCAAGAAUUGUGACUGAUUCUUUCUUCUUCAGUGUCACUAAAAAUGGUAUUUCCUCAUUCCCACUGGCAAUUAAGCCUAAGCAUUCGACAGCUCAGCGAAGUUACUCUGUGAAAUCGAGUGCUUUAGAGCCUCCUGAUAUUCCUCGUUUGGCUGAAAAAGCUCGAAUUUCGCUAACCCUUCAAGAAGUUGAAGACUUCGCUCCCAAAAUUCGACAAGUUAUAGAUUGGUUUGGACAACUUCAAGCUGUCGAUCUGGAGAGUAUCGAACCAGCCAUAAGGGCAGGUGAAUACGUCAACUUCAACUUAAUUGAAUACUUCUCUUUGAUUUUUUUUUCUUUCAAAGUUCUACUGUAAUUUAUUUUCUUGAAGAUAAUGUCAUAUGGUUCUCGAAAUGGUUCUUGCUUCAUUCAGCAUCAAAAAUGAGAAAAUGGUAUAAGAAUGCCUGUCUUUUCAUCUCUAGCCAUAAGCACCAAAACAGAUUGAGGUGACCCGCCACCAGAUAUGCCAUGCUAAAAGAUUUCGUUGACUGAUUCUUAGUGUCAGCCAUUGGACACCCAACAAUGAAGAAAUUUAUCUCCUUGCAAAUUGUAAUCCAUUGAAAUAGAACAGCAAUUAACGCCUUCCUCAUCCUUUUGUUCUAUUCUCUCACGUUCUAGUUUACUAGUGUAAACAUGUGACAGCAUCUUUAGGAUGGAUUCCUGGAAGAAGCUAACCAUGCUAAGGUUAACAAACAAUAAAUUAAACAGUCAAAGGUUACUGUUCCUUUUGCAUCUGGAUCUUUCUUGGAUUUAAAAAUCUUUUGAAAGUUGAAACAGAUUGCAAGAAUCGGAAUAUUUUGUUGGAUUUUCUUUGAUGACUUGAGUGCUAAUAACAUCUAAGAGUGCAAGACUUUUGAACAUCAAAACAUUUGAUGCGACAUUAAAUUUUAUCCUUUUGGUAAUUCUUUCUUGAUCUGCGGAUACUGAGGGAGAUAAUUUGCGCGACGACAUACCUGAAAAGUUUGAGAAUAGGGAAGAAUUGAUUUCUGCUGUGCCAAGCUUUGAGGAGCCUUACAUCAAAGUUCCCAAAGUGUUGAAUAAGGAGUGACAUUAUUUAGGUCAUUUCGUUUCACUUCCAGGGGAAGACCAUAAUCUUAUAUAUUUUGAUCAGUAGAUGGAAGACCAGACAUCAUCCCUCCAAAAUCUUUUUCAAGAUGUAUCUUGAUGCAACAUGUAACACAACUAUACUUCUGCUGCCUGUUAGUUAUCUCUAUUCAU